rnacentral:rRNA from 1 species
AUGACAAAAGGCUUUACAUAUCCCAGCAUGAAAGAGUUCAAGUUGGCACUUUCUCAGCAUGCAAUCAAACGUGAAUUUGAGUAUAACAUCGAGUAUAGUACCCGUCAUCGGUUUAGGGGCUAUUGUUCAAGACGGGAUGCAGAUAAUUGUCCCUGGAGGAUACAUGCUUCUACAACAGAAGAUAAGUGUACCGUGAUGGUGAAGAAAAACCCAUGUGGUCAUGAUUGCUCUAGUACAAGAAGGAAAAAGAAGACGAAGAAUGGAACCAAGCAUUGGGUAUGUGAUAAGGUGAAGGAUUGUCUGAUUGAAGAUGCAACUCUCGGAGCGAAGGCAUUGCAAAAGAAGAUUAAAGAACACCACAAGGUUGACCUCCACUACAAGAGAGUAUAUAUGGGGGUAAAGGAAGUUUUCCCAGAAGUAGAACAUAGGGAAUGCAUGUUUCACUUGGUGUCAAACUUCAAGAAAAAGUAUCACGGAAAGGUAUUUGAUGACCAUCUUUGGAAUGUUGCUUACUCAUGGAAUACAUAUAUAUUUGAGAAAAAUUGGGUUGCAAUGGAAACAGCAAAGCCAGCAGCAACUGCAUAUCUUAGGAAAUGGCACACUAGUUUGUGGACUAGGAGUCAGUUCUCAACCAUUUGUAAGGUGGACUAUGUAACCAACAACCUGGCAGAGUGCUUCAAUAAUUGGAUUAAGCACCACAAGUCUUUGAACUUGGACGACUUAAUGGACAAGCUUAGGCAGAUGAUUAUGAUCAUGUGGAAUCGCCGGAGAAAAGUAGCGAAGAAGUUAGUUGGCUUAAUUUUGCCCCACAUAAUUAAGAAGUUGAAUGCAGAGAGUAGAGAGUUGAACUUGGAGGUGGUAGAAAGCUCGGAAGAAGUUGCUGAAGUUACUCAAUUGGGAGGCAGCGGGUUUAGGUUUGUCGUCAACUUGCAUGACAACACAUGCUCUUGUAGACAAUGGCAAGUUUCUGGCCUUCCUUGCAAACAUGCUCUAGCAUUCAUCACAUCACUUGUCAAUGCACAUAUACAGAAUUAUGUGGACUCGUAUUACUCCAUUGACAAGUUUAGAGCAGCUUAUGGCCAACUAAUCCCUGCUAUGUGUGACAAGACCCAGUGGCCUAAAUCUAACCAUGGAUUCUUCAUGCAUCCACCCUUGUUAAAAGCCGUAGCUGGUCGGCCCCAAACAGAGAGGCAUAAGGGUUGUAGUGAGAAAAAGAGGAAAAGUGGCCAGCACUUAUGCCCUAUUUGUAAGGAAUACGGGCACCAUUGGCACAAGUGCAAGAAGGGGAACAAAUAUGACAUUGCUGCUUUGAUGGAGUUGAGAGAACCACCAAAGAAGAGGAGGAAGACUACCAAAUCAGCCGAGUCAUCCAUUGUGCCAAGAGGUGAUGAAGCACCGGCAACCGCUAUGUAUUUUCCACCAAGCCAAAGCUUAGAAAUUCCAACCAAGAAGAAAGGAAAACAUAGCCAAACUUUGAAGACUACAAAUAAGAAAAAUGCAAAAGGGUGUAAAAGAUCAGGGAAGGGGAAUAAGAUGGAGCUUGCUAAAAAGGAUGAAAGUUGUCCUAUGGUGCCACCAUUCGACAGCCCCGCAAUGAGCACAAGAAGCAAAAAAGCUAACCUAGCCAGCCCCGCAAUGAGCACAAGGAGUAGAAGAAGACUUAGCUUGUGA